AUUAAAAUAGCUCAAGGAGAGUAUUGCAUUGAAGCUGCAAAGGUGACUGAAUUGUCUUUUAAUA
rnacentral:tRNA from 1 species